AAAAAAAAAACAAAAACAAAAAUAAAAAGAGAAAAAAAAAAAACAAUAUGUAGCUGUUUUUUUUUUUUUUUUUUUUUAUUUCCCCUUUUUUUU
rnacentral:ribozyme from 16 species